UUGGAGGGCAAGUCUGGUGCCAGCAGCCGCGGUAAUUCCAGCUCCAAUAGCGUAUAUUAAAGUUGUUGCAGUUAAAAAGCUCGUAGUUGAAUUUCGGGGUUAGUAGGUUGGUCAUGCCUCUGGUAUGUACUGGUCUCACUGAUUCCUCCUUCCUGAUGAACCGUAAUGCCAUUAAUUUGGUGUUGCGGGGAAUUUGGACUGUUACUUUGAAAAAAUUAGAGUGUUUAAAGCAAGCUAACGCUUGAAUACAUUAGCAUGGAAUAAUGAAAUAGGACGUUCGAUCCUAUUUUGUUGGUUUCUAGGAUUGACGUAAUGAUUAAUAGGGAUAGUUGGGGGCAUUAGUAUUCAAUUGUCAGAGGUGAAAUUCUUGGAUUUAUUGAAGACUAACUACUGCGAAAGCAUUUGCCAAGGAUGUUUUCAUUAAUCAAGAACGAAAGUCAGGGGAUCGAAGACGAUCAGAUACCGUCGUAGUCUUAACCAUAAACUAUGCCGACUAGGGAUCGGAUGAUGUUAAUUUUUUAAUGACUCAUUCGGCGCCUUACGGGAAAC
rnacentral:rRNA from 1 species